AUGCUCCCAACCAAGGAAUUAGUGGGGCAAGACCUCCAAUACUCCUACUACCAUUACCUCGUCUUCUCCGCGGUCCUACUGCUCCCUCUUCUCGUCCUCAAGCUCCGGCUCCGGCAACGCAAAGACAAAGACGGCAACAACCCGCCUCCCGGCCCAUGGCGCCUGCCGGUCAUCGGCAGCCUGCACCACCUCGUGAGCCUCGCGGGCGCACUCCCACACCAUGUCAUGCGAGACCUUGCCGGGCGGCACGGCCCGCUGAUGCUGCUCCGCCUUGGGGAGCUCCCCCUCGUGGUCGCGUCGUCGGCCGAAGCGGCGAUGGCGGUCAUGAAGACCCACGACGCCGCGUUCGCCACGCGGCCGCAGACGGCCACGCUCCGCGCGCUCACCAAGGACGGCCUCGGCGUCAUCUACGCGCCCAACAGCGACCACUGGCGCCAGCUCCGCAAGCUGGUCACCACCGAGCUGCUUAGCGCGCGGCGCGUCAAAGGGCUCCGCGUCACCCGCGAGGCCGAGGUCUCCAGCCUCGUGGCGUCCAUCGCGUCGGCGUCGGCUUCGCGGUCCUGCAAGGAGCCCGUCAACCUCAGCUCCCUGCUGUCCAGGUUCGUCACCGACGUCACGACGCGCUCCGUGGUGGGCGACUGGAUCACCGAGCGCGAGGCCUACCUGGAGGCGAAGCGGCAGGUCGUAAAGAUGGCUGCCAAGUUCAGCCUCGCCGAUCUGUUCCCGUCGUCGCGUCUCGCCCGCAUGUGCAGCGGAGGAGUGCGCCAGGCGGAGGCGUGCAACCGUGAGAUCAACCGUAUCAUGGGCAAGGUCAUCGAGGACCACCAAGCAAGGAGGUCGGCUGGCACCGGCGGCAAGGAAGAGGUCAUCCUCGACGUGCUGCUCAGGACACAGAUUGACGGUGUGCCUCUCGACAUGGGAACCAUCCGUGCCGUCAUCCUCGAUCUUUUCGCCGCCGGGAGCGAGAGCUUCGCAACGACGCUGGAGUGGGCCUUGGCGGAGCUGAUACGGAACCCGACCACGCUCCACAAGGCGCAGUCCGAGGUGCGACGCGCCCUCGCCGGACAGACCCGCGUAUCGGAGGACGCCCUGCGCGACCUCCCCUACCUGCAUCUGGUCAUCAAGGAGACUCUGCGGCUGCAUCCCACAGGCCCUUUGCUCCUCCCGCGGGAGUGCCGGGAGCCCUGCCGCGUCCUCGGCUUCGAUGUGCCCCAGGGUGCCAUGGUGCUUGUCAACGCCUGGGCGAUUGGCCGCGACGCCGCCAGCUGGGGCGCUGACGCCGACGAGUUCAGGCCGGAGAGAUUCCAAGGCGACGGCAGCGCGGUGGAAUUCUAUGGGACGGACUACCAGUUCCUCCCGUUCGGCGCAGGCCGGAGGAUGUGCCCUGGCGUAUUGUUCGCCCUCGCCAACGUGGAGCUCGCCAUGGCCAGCCUUCUCUACCAUUUCGACUGGGAGCUCCCGGGUGGCGUCGAUCCGACUAAGCUGGACAUGACGGAGGGGUCCGGGCUCUCUGCAAGGAGGAAGAGCGAGUUAUGGUUGAAUGCCACUGUUCAAGUCACUGUUCCUGAGUGA
rnacentral:rRNA from 1 species